rnacentral:rRNA from 1 species
AAAGAGCAUUUGGUGGAUGCCUUGGCAUCGAGAGGCGAUGAAGGACGUGGCACUCUGCGAUAAGCUACGGGGAGGGGAGAGCACCCAUUGAUCCGUGGAUUUCCGAAUGGGGAAACCCGGCGCUUUAGCGUCAUCGUUAACUGAAUACAUAGGUUAACGAAGCAAACCCGGCGAAGUGAAACAUCUCAGUAGCCGGAGGAAAGGACAUCAACCGAGACUCCGUUAGU